GCCAGUGUGGUGUAAUGGCCAGAAUGCUGUACUUUGACUUUGGCAGACCAGGGUUCAAAUCUCUGCUGUGGAA